rnacentral:rRNA from 1 species
UUCCUACGGGGCGCAGCAGUGAGGAAUAUUGGUCAAUGGGCGCAAGCCUGAACCAGCCAAGUCGCGUGAGGGAUGACGGUCCUAUGGAUUGUAAACCUCUUUUGUCGGGGAGCAAGGCCCGCCACGUGUGGCGGGAAGGAGAGUACCCGAAGAAAAAGCAUCGGCUAACUCCGUGCCAGCAGCCGCGGUAAUACGUAGGGGGCAAGCGUUAUCCGGAUUUAUUGGGCGUAAAGGGAACGCAGGCGGUCUUUUAAGUCUGAUGUGAAA